rnacentral:rRNA from 1 species
UUUGAGAGUGGCGGACGGGUGAGUAACACGUAGGUAAUCUACCUAGAAGUUGGGGAUAGCCUGUGGAAACACAGGGUAAUACCGAAUGAGACCAUGUAAAUGGUGAAAGAGGCUAAGGCCUCGCUUUUAGUUGAGCCUGCGGCUCAUUAGCUAGUUGGUGGGGUAACGGCCUACCAAGGCGACGAUGAGUAGCCGGCCUGAGAGGGCGACCGGUCACACUGGGACUGAGACACGGCCCAGACUCCUACGGGAGGCAGCAGCUAAGAAUCUUCCGCAAUGGUCGAAAGGCUGACGGAGCGACGCCGCGUGGACGAAGAAGGCCGGAAGGUUGUAAAGUCCUUUUCUCAGAGAAGAAUAAUGUGGGGAGGGAAUGCCCUACAGAUGACGUUAUCUGAGGAAGAAGCCCCGGCUAAUUACGUGCCAGCAGCCGCGGUAACACGUAAGGGGCAAGCGUUGUUCGGAAUUAUUGGGCGUAAAGGGCGCGUAGGCGGCUGAGCAAGCCUGGUGUGAAAGGCCACAGCUUAACUGUGGGAGUGCGCUGGGAACUGCUUGGCUGGAGUUCAGGAGGGGAAUCUGGAAUUCCUGGUGUAGGGGUGAAAUCUGUAGAUAUCACGAAGAACACCUGUGGCGAAGGCGAGAUUCUGGCCAUGAACUGACGCUGAGGCGCGAAAGCGUGGGGAGCGAACAGGAUUAGAUAGCCUGGUAGUCCACGCUGUAAACGAUUGUGCACUAGGUGUUGGCUGUUGUAACGGUCAGUGCCGAAGCAAACGCGAUAAGUGCACCGCCUGGGGAGUAUGCUCGCAAGGGUGAAACUCAAAGGAAUUGACGGGGGCCCGCACAAGCGGUGGAGCAUGUGGUUUAAUUCGAUGAUACGCGAGGAACCUUACCAGGGCUUGACAUAUGCAUGACGGUCGUAGAGAUACGGCUUCCCUUCGGGGCGUGCAUACAGGUGCUGCAUGGUGUCGUCAGCUCGUGCUGUGAGGUGUUGAGUUAAGUCCCGCAACGAGCGCAACCCCUGCUGUCUGUUACCAGCACGUAAUGGUGGGGACUCAGACGGUACUGCCGGUGACAAACCGGAGGAAGGUGGGGAUGACGUCAAAUCAUCAUG